GACGAACGCUGGCGGCGCGCUUAACACAUGCAAGUCGAACGGAAAGGCCUGCUUUCCCUUGUGGUUUCCGGGUACUCGAGUGGGGAACGGGCGAGUAACACGUGAGUGAUCUGCCCCCAACUUGGGUAUAAGCCUGGGAAACUGGGUCUAAUUACCGAUUGGACUGCAGGGUGGUGCCGGUGGUGGCAGACGUUUUGCUAGUGGUAGGGGACUAGCCCGCGGCCUAUCAGCUUGUUGGUGGGGUAGUGGCCUACCAAGACGGGGACGAGUAGACGGACUGGGAGGGUGGACGGCCGAACUGGGACGGGGACACGGCCCCGACUGCUACGGGCAGUAGCAGUUGGGACGCAUGCGCCGUGGGCGUGAGCCUGAUGCAGCGACGCCGUGUGGGGGAUCACGGGCUUCGGGUUGUCUGCUCCUUGCGACCGCGAGGAGGCUACCUGGUUGGAAGGGUGGUGACGGUAGUGGUAGAAGAAGCACCGGCUAACUACGUG
rnacentral:rRNA from 1 species